rnacentral:lncRNA from 1 species
UGAGCAACACUGACCUUGGAACGUCCAUAAUAUAAUUCUGACUUAUCAUUGGUCAGAUCGAUUCACAAUCAGCCGACCGACUGAAUGUCGGCAACUGCGAUGGACCAUCGGACUCACAUUGCAGAAUGAGUCUUAGCCAAAUUAUAACACAGUUAUCCGACUCUCAGUUGGUGAUAAGGAUGUGGACAUCCGAUUAUUAGCCAGACACGCCGACAAACAUUUAGAUGCUCUCAAUCAACCCCUUAGCC